GACGAACGCUGGCGGCGUGCUUAACACAUGCAAGUCGAGCGGUAAGGCCCUUUCGGGGGUACGACGAGCGGCGAACGGGUGAGUAACACGUGGGUGACCUGCCCUCAACUCUGGGAUAAGCCUGGGAAACCGGGUCUAAUACUGGAUAUGACUCCAUGACGCAUGUUGUGGGGUGGAAAGCCUUGUGCGGCUGAGGAUGGGCCCGCGGCCUAUCAGCUUGUUGGUGGGGUGAUGGCCUACCAAGGCGACGACGGGUAGCCGGCCUGAGAGGGCGACCGGCCACACUGGGACUGAGACACGGCCCAGACUCCUACGGGAGGCAGCAGUGGGGAAUCUUGCGCAAUGGGCGAAAGCCUGACGCAGCGACGCCGCGUGAGGGAUGACGGCCU
rnacentral:rRNA from 1 species